rnacentral:tRNA from 1 species
UCGGAGCGUGGCGCAGCCCGGUUAGCGCACUAGUCUGGGGGACUAGGGGUCGUGGGUUCAAAUCCCGCCGCUCCGACCAU